GGAGGAAAAGAAACUAACAAGGAUUCCCCUAGUAGCGGCGAGCGAAGCGGGAAGAGCUCAAAUUUAUAAUCUGGCACCUUCGGUGUCCGAGUUGUAAUCUCUAGAAGUGUUUUCCGCGUUGGACCGCACACAAGUCUGUUGGAAUACAGCGGCAUAGUGGUGAAACCCCCGUAUAUGGUGCGGACGCCCAGCGCUUUGUGAUACACUUUCAAUGAGUCGAGUUGUUUGGGAAUGCAGCUCAAAUUGGGUGGUAAAUUCCAUCUAAAGCUAAAUAUUGGCGAGAGACCGAUAGCGAACAAGUACCGUGAGGGAAAGAUGAAAAGCACUUUGGAAAGAGAGUUAACAGUACGUGAAAUUGUUGGAAGGGAAACGCUUGAAGUCAGACUUGCUUGCCGGAGCUUGCUUCGGUUUGCAGGCCAGCAUCAGUUUUCCGGGGUGGAUAAUAACGGUUUGAAGGUAGCAGUCUCGGCUGUGUUAUAGCUUUCCGUUGGAUACAUCCUGGGGGACUGAGGAACGCAGCGUGCUUUUUGCGAAAGACUCGUCUUUUUCACGCUUAGG
rnacentral:rRNA from 1 species